rnacentral:tRNA from 1 species
GCGCGGAUGGCGGAAUUGGCAGACGCGAUAGCCUUAGGAGCUAUUGGGGAAACCCGUGGAGGUUCAAGCCCUCUUCCGCGCACCA